rnacentral:misc_RNA from 1 species
AAUUCUCAACCAUGCCUUUAUUGGAGGGCAUGGCUUGGAGUUUGGGAGGUUGCUGGCGUCGAAGGACGGUCGGCUCUCCUGAAAUGUAUUAGUGAUGGACAAGCAGGUCUUUCGACGUGCACGGCCUCCCGACGUGAUAAUGAUCGUCGUGGCUGGAGCGUCAGACAUCGACCUUGCCUCAAAUUGCUUCCAAUCAUGGACCGAGUCAAGCUUAGCUACUAGUUGGUCUCAGACUGGUGAAUGCGGCCGGAGCUCGAGUCAAUGAAU